UACGUAGGGGGCAAGCGUUGUCCGGAAUCAUUGGGCGUAAAGAGCGCGUAGGCGGCCCUGUAAGUCCGCUGUGAAAGUCCAGGGCUCAACCCUGGGAUGCCGGUGGAUACUGUCGGGCUCGAGUCCGGAAGAGGAGUGUGGAAUUCCUGGUGUAGCGGUGAAAUGCGCAGAUAUCAGGAGGAACACCAAUGGCGAAGGCAGCACUCUGGGACGUGACUGACGCUGAGACGCGAAAGCGUGGGGAGCAAACAGG
rnacentral:rRNA from 1 species